AGAGGGAUGCCGAGAGAGAGGGCUUGCUCUUCGGUGCGCUUGGAAGUGGGAACGCCGACGAUGUCAGAGAGUUGGCCGGUUUUGAGGAGGUGGCCGAGCUUGGCGACGACAAAGGCGGCGGUGGAGCCGGUGCCGAGGCCGAGGACCAUGCCGCUUUUGACGUAGUCUACGGCCUUAUCAGCGGCGAGCUUCUUGAGGUCGUCUUGGGUGAGGGCAGGUGCAGAGAAGGCUCUGAUAGAGAGAAGGGGGCGGGUGCGGGGGGUAAGGGUGGAGGAGGUGCGGAGGGAAAGGGCAUUACGGUGGUGGAGGGAGGAGAGGGAGUGGGACUUGGGUGGAGAGAGGAGGGAUAGGGUGGCCAUUGGUGGGUGAUGGGUGGCGGUGGUGAAAUGGGAGGUGGUUGUGCUGCUGUGUAUACUAUGAU
rnacentral:lncRNA from 1 species